rnacentral:rRNA from 1 species
AGAGUUUGAUUAUGGCUCAGGAUGAACGCUAGCUACAGGCUUAACACAUGCAAGUCGAGGGGCAGCAUUGGAGUAGCAAUACUUCAGAUGGCGACCGGCGCACGGGUGAGUAACACGUAUCCAACCUGCCGCUUACUCGGGGAUAGCCUUUCGAAAGAAAGAUUAAUACCCGAUGGUAUAAAGAGUUCGCAUGUUCUCUUUAUUAAAGAAUUUCGGUAAGCGAUGGGGAUGCGUUCCAUUAGAUAGUUGGCGGGGUAACGGCCCACCAAGUCUACGAUGGAUAGGGGUUCUGAGAGGAAGGUCCCCCACAUUGGAACUGAGACACGGUCCAAACUCCUACGGGAGGCAGCAGUGAGGAAUAUUGGUCAAUGGACGAGAGUCUGAACCAGCCAAGUAGCGUGAAGGAUGACUGCCCUAUGGGUUGUAAACUUCUUUUAUAAGGGAAUAAAGUGAGGGACGUGUCCCUUUUUGUAUGUACCUUAUGAAUAAGGAUCGGCUAACUCCGUGCCAGCCGCUGC